rnacentral:rRNA from 1 species
UACGUAGGGGCCUAGCGUUGUCCGGAUUUAUUGGGCGUAAAGAGCUCGUAGGCGGUUCGGCAAGUCGGAUGUGAAAUCUCCACGCUCAACGUGGAGGGCCAUUCGAACUGCCGUGACUCGAGUCCGGUAGGGGAGUGUGGAAUUCCGGUGUAGCGGUGAAAUGCGCGAUAUCGGGAGGAACGACCAGAGCGAAGGCGGCACUCUGGCCGG